GACUUUUCAGAAAGAAAGAAUGUAAACAACAUUGUUGUUCCCCAAACCGGCCACUUUACCCACACCUGAACCAACCAACCAGUGGACUUAAAGAGGCAGAUGUUUUUUCUUGUUUUUUAUCUAGGUAAGAGAAUCAUAUUUAAAAUCAUUAUUUAAUCAAUAUAUCAAAGAUAGUAUGUAUGUAUGCAGACAUAAAACUAUCUUAAGACUUCCACUUCUACGAAGAUGAAGUACUCGUCCUCUUCUUUCCACUAAGUACAACUAAAACCCCUGGGUAUUACAUACCAAAUAAACACAAGAGGCUCUAAAAGGCUUAGAGCUGGAGAAGUCAGCAACCCACAAAUGCCAAGGAGUGAAGAAAUAAUGCCUGAAAACUUCCCAAAUUUGAUGAAAGACAGGAAGGUAAAUAUCAAAGAAGCUCAGUGAACUCCAAGUAAGAUGAAAUUUAAAAACCCACAGUAAGUCACAUAAACUUUCAAAGAGAGACUUUUGACAGCAUUGAGAGAAGCAAAUUAUUACAUGCAAGGGAUCCUCAAUAAGAUCAUUAUCAGAUUUCUCAUCAGAAACUUUGGAAGCCAGAAGACAAUGCAAAAUAGGGAAAAAACCCCAAAAAACAGCAGAACUGUCCUUCAAAAGUUAGGUGGAAAUUAAGACAUUUCCAGAUAAACAAAAGCUGAGGACGUCUGUGACCAUUUGACAUGCCUUGAAAGAAAUGCCCAAGGGAUUUCUGCAAGGUGAAAUGAAAGGACUCUAGAUAGUAACUUGAAGCUGUAGAGAAAAAUAAAGGGCUCAAUGAAGUUACAUAUACGGGAAAUUAUAAAAGCUACUACUAUUGUAACAAUAGCUUCAAACUGAAUUUUUUGUUGUCUACAUGAUUUAAGAUGAAAAAAAGCAUUUAUUAGUAUAAAAUUACUAUUAGACUACUGUCACUUUGGUCUAUAACUCUAAACCUUAUUUAUUACAUAACUUGAGACUAAUACACUUAAAGAAUUAUUAGUUUAUGUUUUUGGGCACACAACGUAUAACUACGUAAUUUGGUGACAUAUACAACUGAAAGCGUGGGAGGAGUGCAGCUGUAAAGGAACAGAGUUUUUGUAUGUUUUGAAGUUAAGCUGGUGUAAAUUCAAAUUAGAGUGUUAUAACUUCAGGAUAUUAAAUGUAAUCCCCAUGGUGACAACAAAGAAAAGACCUACAGAAUAUACACAAAAGGAAAUAAGAAAGGAAUUUAAACAUUUCACCACAAAAAAUCAACUAAACACAAAAGAAGACAGGAAUGCAGGAAAUGAUGGACAAAAAUACUAUAAGGCAUAUAGAAAACAGCACAGUGACAGAAGUCUCUUUUUAUCAGUAAUUAUUUUCAUUGUAAAUGGAUUAAACUCUCCAAUCAGAAGACAGAGGCUGUCAGAAUGGAUAAAAACACAUGAUCCAACUAUAUUCAGCCUAUAAAAGACUCACUGAGAUCCAAAGACACAAACUGGUUGAAAGUGAAAGGAAGGAAAGAGAUAUUCUAUGCAAAUAGUAACCAAAAGAGGGCAGGAGUGGCUCUAUUUGACAAAAUAGACUUUAAAUUUAAAAUUGUUACUAGAAACUACUUGAAAAAGGAUAUGUUAAUAAAAGAUUCAAUACAGCAAGAAGACAUAACAAUUAUAAACAUUUACAUACGUAAUGACAGACCAGCAAAAUGUAUGAAGCAAAAACUGACAGAAUUGAAGGGAGAAAUAGACAGUUCUACGAUAUAGUAGGAGACAUCAAUACCCCACUUACGAUAGGGAGACCAGUCAGAAGAUAUAUAAGGAAAAAGGACUUAACACAAUGAGCCAUCAAAACUUAACAGACAUAUACAGAACACUGUACCCAACAACAAUAGAAUAAACAUUCUUCUCAAGUGCAUAUAUAGGACAUUUUCCAGGACAGAACAUAUGUUAGGCCACCAAUUACGUUUUAAUAGAUUUUAAAAGAUAGAUAUCAUACAAGGUAUCUUUUCUUACCACAAUGGGAUGAAGUUAGAAAUAACAAACAAAAGGAAAACUAAAAUGUUCAAAAAAUUGUGGAGAAAUUAUACACACACUUCUAAACAAUCAAUGAAUCAAAGAAGUCACAAGAGAAACUAGAAAAUACUUAGAGAGUUGAAUGAAAAUGAAAACACAACAGAGCAAAAUUUAUCGGACACAGUGAAAGUAGUGCUAAGGGGGAAAUUUAUAACUAUAAGCACAUUCAAAAAUGAAAGAUCUCAAGUCAGUAACCUAACUUUAAACUUAAGGAACUAGAAAAAGAAGAAAAAACUAAAUCCACAGACAGAAGAGGAAGGAAGUAAUAAGGAUUAGAGCAGAGAUAAAUAAAAUAGAAAAUAGAAAAACUAGAGAAAAUCAAUGAAACCAAAAGUUGAUUCUUUGAAAAGAUCAACAAAAUUGACAUACCUUUAGCUAAAUGGACUAAGAAAAAAGUUAAAUUACUAAAAUCAGAAAUGAAAGUAGAGAUAUUACUACCAGUUCUACAGAACUAGAAAGGAUUAUAAGAGAGUAUUGCAAACAAGUGUAUGCCAACAAAUUGGACAACCUAGAUGAAAUGGACAAAUUACUAGAAACACAGAACUUACCAAGACUAUCUAUCUCAUGAAGAAAUAGAAAAUAUGAGUAGACCUAUAACUAGUUGAGGAGAUUGAAUCAGUAAUCAAAAUUCUCCCAACCAAAAAUAAAGCCCUGGACCUGACAGUUUCUUUGGUGAAUUCCACCAAAUAUUUAAAGAACUAAUCUAAUGCUGAUCUUUCUCAAACUUUCCCAAAAAACUGAAGAGGAAGGAACAUUAACUAACUCACUCUGUAAGGCCAGCAUUACUGUGACACCAAAGCCAGACAAAGACACUACAAGAAAACUAUAGACCAAUAUCCCUUAUGAACACUGAUGCAAAAAUCCUCAACAAAAUAAUAGCAAACCAAAUUAAGCAGCAUAUUAAAAGGAUUUACACCAUGACCAAAUAGGAUUUAUAUCUGGAAUGCAAGGAUAGUUUUAACAUAUGAAAAUUGAUCAAUGUAAUACACCAAAUCAAUGGAAUGAAGGAAAAAAAACACAUGACCAUCUCAAUUGAUGCAGAAAAGGCAUCUGACAAAACUCAACACGCUUUCAUGAUUUAAAAUAACAAACUAGGCAUAGAAGGAAACUACCUCACCAUAAUAAAAGCCACCUAUAAAAAAAACCUACAGCAAACAUCACACUCAAUGGUGAAAGACCAAAAAGCACCUCCUCUAAGAUCAGGAACCAAGGCUAGGAUGUCUGCUUUCACCACUUCCAUUCAACAUAGUAUUGGAAGUUCAAGCCCUAGCAAUUAAGCAAGAAGAAAUAAAAGGCAUCCAAAUUGGAAAGGAAGAAAUAAAAUGAUCUCUGUUUGCAGAUGAUAUAUUUUAAAACCCUAGAGUCCACAAAAAACCUGUUUGAACUGAUACAUUAAUUCAGCAAAGUAUCAGGAUACAAACUCUACACACAAAAAGUUGCGUUUCUAUAAACAAAUAAUGAAAGAAAGGAAAUUACAAAAACAAUUCCAUGUACAAGAGUAUCAAAAAUAGAAUAGUUAGGAAUUAACUUAACCAAGGAGGUGAAAGAAUUGUAUAACAGAAACUACAAACAUUGCUGAAAGAAAUUAAAGAAGACAUAAAUAAACACAUCCCUUGUUCAUGGAUUAGAAGACUUAUUAAUAUUAUUAAAAUACCAAUACUGCCCAAAGCAAUCUAUGGAUUCAAUGUAAUCCCUAGCAAAAUCCCAAUGAUAUUUUUUGCAGAUAUAGAAAAAUUCAUUCUAAAAUUUAUACGGAAUCUCAAGAAACUCUGAAUGCCAAAAUAAUCUUGAAAAGGGAGAAGGAAAUUAGAGGGUUCACACUUCCUGAUUUCAAAACUUACUACAUUUCUACAGUAAUCAAGACAAUGUGGUACUGGUAUGAAGACAGACAUAGAGACUAAUGGACUAGAAUAGAGAGCCCAUGAAUAAAUCUUUGCAUAUAUGGUCAAGUGAUUUUUGACAAGGGUGCUAAAAUAUUCAACAGGGAAAGAACAGUCUUUCACCAAAUGAUGUUGGGAAAACUGGAUAUGGAUUCGCAAAAGAAGGAAGUUGGACCCUUACCUAGCACCUUAUACAAAAAUUAACUCAAAAUUGAUCAAGGGCCUAAAUGUAAUACUUAAAACAAUAAAAAUCUUAGAAGAAAACAUAGAGCAAAAGCUUCAUGACAUUGGAUUUGUCAAUGAUAUCUUGGAUAUGACACUAAAGGCACAGUUAAAUUUAAAAAAGAAAAAAAUAGACAAACUGAACUUAAUGAAAAUUUAAAAAUUUUUGUGCAUCACAGACACUAUUCACAGAGUAAAAAGGCAAAAUACAGAAUGGGAGAAAUAUUUGCAAAUCACAUACCUGAUAAGGGAUUAAUGUCCAGAAUAUAUAAAGAACUCCUAAAACUCAACAACAACAAAAAAUAAACAAACCAAUUCAGAAAUGGGCAAAGGACUUGAAUAGACAUUUCUCCAAAGAAAAUAUAUGAAUGGCCAAUAGGCAUAUAAAUAGAUGCUCAAUAGCACUAAUCAUUAGGGAAAUGCAAAUCAAAGCCACAGUGAGAUAUCAUCUCACACCUGUUAGAAUGGCCAUUAUUAAAAAAAACAGGGCUUCCCUGGUGGCACAGUGGUUGAGAGUCCGCCUGCCGAUGCAGGGGUCACGGGUUCGUGCCCGGGUCUGGGAAGAUCCCGCAUGCCGCAGAGCGGCUGGGCCCGUGAGCCAUGGCCGCUAAGCCUGUGCGUCCGGAGCCUGUGCUCCGCAACGGGAGAGGCCACAACAGUGAGAGGCCCGCGUACCGCAAAAAAAAAAAAAAAAAAAAAAAAAACAAACCCAGAAAAUAACAAGUGCUGUCAAGCAUGUAGAAAAAUCAGAGCCUGUGUGCACUGUUGGUGGGAAUGUAAAAUGGUAUAGCUGCUGUGAAAAACAGUAUGGAGGUUCCUCAAAAAAUUAAAAGUAGAAUUACCAUAUGAUCCAGCAAUUUCAUUUUGGGGUAUAUACCCAAGAGAAUGAAAAGCAACGUCUUGAAGAGACAUCUGUACAAUCGUGUACAUAGCAGCAUUAUUCACAAUAGCUAAAAUGUGGAAGCAACCCUGGUGUCCAUUGAUGGAAGAAUGGAUUAGCAAAAUGUGUUAUAAACAUACAAUAGAAUAUUAUUCAGCCUCAUAAAGGAAAGAAAUUCUGAAAUAUGCUACAACAUGGAUGAACCUUGAGGACAUUAUGCUAGAUGAAAUAAACCAAUCACGAAAAGACAAAUACUGUAUGAUUCUACUUAUAUGAGGUACUUAGUGUAGUCAAAAUCAUGAAGAAAGUAUACAGUGGUUUCCAAGGGCCAGGGGAGCAGAGAAUGGGGAGUUAUUAAUGGGUAUAGAGUUUCAGUUUUUGAAGAUGACAAGAGUUAUGGGAUGGUGGUGAUGGUUGUACAACAAUGUGAAUGUACUUAAUACCACUGAAGUGUACACUUAAAAAUGGCUAAGAUGGUAAAUGUUAUGUGUAUUUUUACUACAAUAAAAGAAUCAAACUCUAUAUUUUUGAGGGGGCUACUGGAAAAGAGGGUAUCUACCAGACUUACAGUUGUCAGAAUGUGAGGCUGGAAUUCCAUUUCGCCAGCAAGAGAGGAGAGUCUGAGAAUGGAACCAACCCAGAAGAGGCAGAAAUGACAUUAAAAUGGGGAAAAAACUUUGAAUCCUAGUGAUAUCCUUUGAGCCCCUUAUUUUAAGCCAUGGCUAAAGCCAGUCUUGUCCCUAGACUUUUUCCCUUACUAAGCCAACCAAUUCCCCUUUUAGCUAAGCCAUUUUUUUUAAAGAGUUUUUUGUUCCUUGCAAUGGAUGGAGUCCUGAUACAUACCUUCAAAACAUGAUUUAGUAGGAAGAGAAGAAAAUAGUCCCCAUGUCAGUAAGUGGAAGCUCCAUCUUCAGUUGCUCAGGCCUGGAAUUCUGGAGACCUCUAGCUCUCCUUUUUAUUGUUCAAACUCACACCCAAGCUAUCAGCAAAUUCUCUAGACUCUGUCAGAUAUAUCUAAAAUCUGAUCACUUCUCAUCCUCUCUAUGGCUACCACCUUGGUCCAGCCACCACUUUUUCUUGCCUGGAUAACUGCAAUAGCCCCUUAAAUGGUCUCCCCUUGUGGUUCAUCAUUCUACUCUCAAAACAACAGCCAAAGUGACCUUGCUGACACUUAAAGCACAUCAUGUCACUCCUCUGACCAAAACUCUCCAAACUCAGAGUAAAAAGUGAAGUCCUAAGCCAGGUUUUACAUGAUUUGUCCCCCUCAACUUCCAACACUUAUCUCACUUUAUUUCUUACCACUGUUCUCCUUUUUCAGUCUUCUCUACCCAAAUUAGCCUCCUUGGUCUUCCUAGAAGAUGACAGACAUGCUCCUUUCUCAUGGCCUUUGCACUUCUAGUACCUGCCCCGGGAAUAGAUCCCCCUGGGUGGUUCCCAAAUUUUUACCCUGCCUAUUCCAUUGAUGUUAGUUUUGGAUAUAUGACUUGAUUUAGCCAGUGGAAUGAGAAACAGGGACUUUAAACAUACUUUCAUGGUUUGGCAUGCCCUCCUGAACUCUUGUGAUUUACCAUGAGCAGAACAUACCCUAACUGGCUGCUGGUCUUGGGGUGGGGGGAGGAAGAAACGUAGAAUAGAUCUGAAACAACCCACAGUCUGGAUAUAAGUUCAACUGAUCCCCUAUUAGCCCAGUAGAGCCAUAGAUGAUCCAUGAACAGGAAAAUAGGUAUUUGCUAUUAUAAGCUACUGAGAUUCUGAGAAUUUUGUUUUAUGAAUAAAAUAUGAAUAGUGUUGAAACUGAUACCUAGAAAUAGAAUGCUGUCCUAAUAAAAACCUAAAUUAUGUGGCAAUCAUUGGCUUUGUGACUGAAUAACAACAGGUGGUUAUAGGAACCUAGAAAAAUAGUAACACAAGUUAUGUAGAGGUGAUACAUUUAGUAAAACUAUCUUCUGUGACAGGUACAUUUUCUGUCUUUCACACUAACAGAACUGAGUCACUGGGCAAAGAGAUUUUUGAGGCAGAAAGUUUAGACUAUGAGUUGGUUGUUGCUACCUUUAUUUGAUAAGGUGUGCUACAAGAAGGAAAUCAGCUCAAAAAAAUGUGGAUAAAAAAACUGAAUUGAGAGGGAAAACAGAGAGCCCCAAAUUCUAGAAUUUGUAGGUUGGCUUCAACAUAGCCUUGAGGCAAAGGUCAAAUCAAAGUAAUGGCUUUUACAUCUGGGGUAGACAAUCUCUAAGAUGACCUCUGAUGAUCCCCAUCUUUUAGUAUUCAUACCCUUCUGUAAUCCUAGGUCACUGGGCUAAACCUAGUGACUUACUUCUACUGAAUGGUAUAUGGCAAAAGUAAUGGGAUUCUGCUUCUGAGAUUAGGCUACCUUCACUGCAGUCUUUUCAGAGACCUUAGAUAAAGGAACCCAGAUAAGCCACUCCUGGAUUCCUGACCCACAGGAACUAUGUGAUAAUAAAUGUUUGUUGUUUAAAGCUGCUAAGAUUUGGGGUAAUUAGUUACUCAGCAAUAGAAAAUGAAUACAUCAUCUGUCUUGGUCCAUUCACCUGCUAUAACAAAAUACCUCUGACUGUGAGGCUAAUAAAUAAGGGACAUUUAUUUCUCAUAGUUCUGGAGGCUGGAAGGUUGAGAUGAGGGUGCCAGUAUGGUCAGAUGAGAGCUUUCUUUUGGGUUGUGGACUGCUUGUUGUAUCCUCACAAGGCAGAAGGGGCUAAGGAUCUUUCUGGAGCCUCUUUUAUAAGGUACUAAUCCCAUUCAGAGGGCUCUGCCCUCAUGACAUAAUCACCUCCCAAAGGCCCCACCUUCUUGUACCAUAAUAUGGGGCAUUAUAAUUUCAACAUAUGACUUUUGGGGGACAGAAAUAUGUAGACCAUAGCAUUCCACCCCUAAUCCCCUCAGAUUCAUGUCAUUCUCACAUGCAAAAUUCAUUCAUCCCAUCCCAACAACCCCUAACGUGUUAACUAAUUCCAGCAUCAACUCUAAAGUCCAAAAUCUUAUCUCUAUAACAUCUAAAUCAGAUAUGGAUGAGAUUCAAAAUAUGAUUCAUCCUGAGGUAAAUUUCCUGUCCAGUUGUGAACCCAUGAAACCAAUCAAGUUAUGUGCUUCCAAAAUACAACUGUGGGACAGGCAUAGGAUAAGACAUUCCCAUUGCAAAAGGGAGAAAAAGGAAAGAAGGAUGGGGGGAUGGGUCCCAAGCAAGCUCAAAACCUAGUAAAGCAGAUUCAAUGAGAUCUUAAUGGUCAUGAAUAAUCCUCCUGCCCCAAUGCUCUGCCUUCUGGACCCACUGGGGUGGCAGUAGCACACCAACAGCAUGGCAGGGUGCUACUCAUGCCUGGCUCUCUGUCCGGGCUCUGCCCACACCACAGUGCACAGCUCCAGGCGGCUCACCUCCAUGGCCUCUAUUGGAAGCCGUCUGCCCUGUUAAAACCUGUUGGUGUUAAUGGCCCUGAUGAUCUAUUAGUCACCUUCAGGGCUUUUAAAAAUUUGUCUUCAUGACACAAACAGAUGGAAAGAUAUACUGUGUUCUUAGAUUAGAAGAAUUAAUAUUGUUAAAAUGACCACACUACCCAAGGCAAUCUACAGAUUCAAUGCAAUCCCUAUCAAAAUACCAAUGGCAUUUUUCACAGAACUAGAACAAAUAUUUAAAAAAUUUGUAUGGUAACCUGAAAAACCCAAUAGCCAAAACAAUCUUGAGAAAGAAGAACAGAGCUGGAGGAAUCACACUCCCUGAUACUACAAAGCCACAGUAAUCAAAACAGUAUGGUGCUAGCACAAAAAUAAACACAUACAUCAGUGGAACAGAAUAGAGAGCCCAGAAAUAAACCCACACACUUAUGCUCAAUUAAUCUAUGACAAAGGAGGCAAGAAUAUACAAUGGAGAAAAGAAUCUCUUCACCAAGUGGGGGUGGGAAAACUGGACAGUUACAAGUAAAAGAAUGAAAUUAGAACAUUCACUAAUACCAUGUACAAAAAUAAAGUCAAAAUGGAUUAGAGACCUAAAUUUAAGACUGGAAACCAUAAAACUCCUAGAGGAAAACAUAGGCAGAACACACUGACAUGAAUUGUAGCAAUAUUUUUUGGAUUUAUCUCUUAAAGCAAAGGAAAUAAAAGCAAAAAUAAACAAAUGGGACCUAUUUAAACUUAAAAUCUUUUGCACAGCAAAGGAAACCAUAAACAAAACAAAAAGCCUACUGAAUGGGAGAAAAUAUUUGCAAAUGAUAUGAUUGAUAAAUGGUUAACAUCCAACAUAUAUAAACCGCCCAUAUGACUCAACAUCAAAAAAACAAACAGGGGCUUCCCCUGGUGGUGCAGUGGUUGAGAGUCCGCCUGCCAAUGCAGGGGACGCGGGUUCGUGCCCGGUCCGGGAAGAUCCCACAUGCCGCAGAGAGUCUAGGCCCGUGAGCCAUGGCCACUGAGCCUGUGCGUCCAGAGCCUGUGCUCCGCAAUGGGAGAGGCCACAACAGUGAGAGGCCCGCGUACCACAAAAAACAAACAAACAACCUGGGACUUCCCUGGUGGCCCAGUGGUUAAGACUCCACACUUCUACCACAGGGGGCAUGGGUUCGAUCCCUGGUCGGGGAACUAUGAUCCCACAUGCCACACAACCAAAAAAGAAAGAAAGAAAAAGAACAAACAAGCAAACAGAAAUCCAAACAACCCAAUUAAAAACUGGGCAGAAGAACUGAAUAGACAUUUUUCCAAAGAGAAAAUGCAGAUGGCCAACAGGUACAUGAAAAGAUGCUCAACACUGCUAAUCAUUAGGAAAAUGCAAAUCAAAACCACAAUGAGAUAUCACCUCACACCUGUCAGAAUGGCUAUCAUCAAAAAGAACACAAAUAACAAAUGAUGGUGAGAAUGUGGAGAAAAGGGAACCCUCAUACACUAUUGGUAAGAAUGUAAAUUGGUGGAUCCACUAUGGAAAACAAUAUGGUGGUUUCUCAAAAAUAGAACUACCAUAUGACCCAGCAAUUCCACUCCUGGGUAUAUAUCUGAAAAAAACAAGACCCCUCAUUUGAAAAGAUACAUCCAUCCCAAUGUUCACAGCAGCAUUAUUUACAAUUGCCAAGAUAUGGAAGCAACCUAAGGAAGUGUCCAUUAACAGAUGAAUGGAUAAAGACGACGUGUGUGUGAG